AUGGCCACAUCACGUUGAAGGACCUGUUCUCGUAUGAUCACAGAAGUUAAGCAACUCGGGUUGGUCAGUACCUAGGUGAGUGACUGCUUGGGAAUACCAGGUGUUGUAAG